UGCUCAUGUGGCCUAAUGGUUACAGCAUCCACCUCGGAUGCGGAAGGUCAUGGGUUCGAAUCCGAGCCAUACCAA